UACGAAGGGGGCUAGCGUUGCUCGGAAUCACUGGGCGUAAAGCGCACGUAGGCGGAUUGCUAAGUCAGGGGUGAAAUCCUGGAGCUCAACUCCAGAACUGCCCUUGAUACUGGCGGUCUCGAGUCCGGGAGAGGUGAGUGGAACUGCGAGUGUAGAGGUGAAAUUCGUAGAUAUUCGCAAGAACACCAGUGGCGAAGGCGGCUCACUGGCCCGAUACUGACACUGAGGCACGAAAGCGUGGGGAGCAAACAGG
rnacentral:rRNA from 1 species